rnacentral:tRNA from 4 species
CAGCGUGUCGGCCCGGUCGGGCCGCUGCGCCGCCAGUGCGGCACAGGCAGGUUCGAGUUCCUGCAACGCCGC